rnacentral:rRNA from 1 species
CACGGGGGGAGCAAGCGUUGUUCGGAAUCACUGGGCGUAAAGGGCGUGUAGGCGGUCUGGUAAGUGGGAUGUGAAAGCCCCCGGCUCACCCGGGGAUCUGCAUUCCAAACUGCCAGACUUGAGUAUGGGAGAGGACAGGGGAAUUCCUGGUGUAGCGGUGAAAUGCGUAGAUAUCGGGAGGAACACCUGUGGCGAAAGCGGCGCACUGGACCAUAACUGACGCUGAGGCGCGAAAGCUAGGGGAGCAAACAGG